UCCCCAUCUUCAAGACUUCAACACAAAAGGCAAGCAUCAGCAGCUAAAAAAAAAGCUAGAACCUAAUUCCCAAAAUUCCAGCGCCGAUUACCCCAAGAAAAAGACCCUUGAGCAGCGCCUGCCUUUCCCCAGAGAUUCAUCCAUCUCUUUCUCUGGACAACACACACACCCCAAAGAGAGAACAAAAGAAAAAUGGCAAAAAAUAGUAAUAUGCAGUAAAGAGGAAACGAAACAGUAGAGAGGAAAAUAGAACAAGAUUUUGAAGAUUUUUUUUUCUUCUUUUGAUUUUGAGUUCUUAGAAAAGAAAAAUAACACAAAAAAUAUUUCUAAUCUCUCUUUCCAACUUCGAUUUUGAUUCUUAAUUAUGGAGUUUAAUUGAUUCCAGUUUGUCACGGUUGGAAGUCGCCGUUUGAGGUGUCCAUUUCCUGUGUUUGCUCCUGUUGAAGCUCAAAUUGCAGCAGCUGUUUUCUUCCUCUCAAGUGUGUUCUUAUGUUUCUUGUGCUUGUAUUCACUUUCAGCAUUAAUCCAAAGUUCUGCGCAUUCAGAUGAAGUUCAGAUGUGGAGACAAUUGUAAUAAAUGGAAGCAUAUCACACGUUAACAGCUGUGUAGGUGCUGACUUGAGAAUGGCUUUGGAAAAUAAUUAACUUGAACAUUGUUGCUUGCUUGAAGCGCGUUAAUUAAAUAAAUCAUUUUGACUAUGAGUACAGUUCUCGUGAUAUGGUCACGAUACGUAAUAUCCUAUUCAA